rnacentral:rRNA from 1 species
UCAUUUUUGACUGAAGAGUCCUUUUUUAAUUGCUGCAGUUGCAUUUUUAGGUUCUCAUUUUCCUCUUUCAGGCGUUUCGAAUUGUCCACCAGGUUUUUCACUUUUUCUUCCAAUUUAUUUAAUUCUUCCAAUUCCAUUUUUUCUCCUUUGUUCCCCUCGCUGUAAUUUUUUGUACGUCUCCAUUUACUUUUUUAUUUCUCCAUGGGGCCUGGAGAUUGAAAUGUUUGCGUUUUGUUGUUGGUGG